rnacentral:lncRNA from 13 species
GUGGAGGAUUGCAGAAGAACCAUGGGGUUGAUGAUGGUGGCAUCUCCUUUGAGACGCUCAGCCAGCAAGUGUCUCGGAAGGGCAAGGGCAAGAGCCGGCUGGCAUUCAGAGAAUUCACUGCUGAUCUCAUUAGCGAUCCCUUGAACGUGCAGCGUGACGUUUUUAUUUCCGCUUUGAAGAUUCUCUGUUUGACUUUGGCUUCGGAUAUCUCAUUUUGAUAAGCCUAUGUUUCAUUAUCUUUCAGAUAACACUACGUGGAGGUCAGUGAACUCUUUGAUUGUGUAAUUUAGUGUUUCUCUUUAAAAUGAAUUUGAGAGCAAUUUGAGGUGGGGAUGUCUCACUCAUAUCCUUCUAAAGAAACAAGCAUUUGGGAACCUUUUAUAGAAAAAAGCACAGUUGUGAGUGCACUGGAAUUCAGGUCAGAGGUAGCAAACCUUAGGAGAGCCCAGGAAUGAAGACGGCUGUUUUGAAUAGUUAUUUCAUGUGUAAGGACAGAAGAAAGCCACUGAACUCAGAAGGGGCAUAGCCCAGACUUGCUCUCAGAGGGAGACUUCUGCACCAGACUGUAGGCUGACACCGGUGACCAGGGACAGCUGGGGCUGAGCUGUACACCCAGGGGAGCAGGCCCCAGGCAGCCUGCCAUGAGAUCGUGCUCCAAGGACCGGCCGUUCUGCUGGACCCACGGGCUCCUGGUAUUCAUCAGCCUGCUCCUCAGUGUCUGCAGCUCUGCAGCCAACACUUCCGGAGCUCAUGGCUCUGCUGUGAAGGAUUCUGGAAACCACAUUUAUCUGAAGCGCAUCCGAGGAGGUUCUGUCUUGUUUAAUGUGACCGAGAAGCCCAUGGCAGAUGCAGGAGCCGAAAUACAGGAGGUUUUAUGGCUUUUAGGCACUCCGUUAAAGCACAGGCAGCUGCUGCAAGUCCGUAGAGGAGCCGACUCCCCCACCUGGUUGAGCCUCCAGGACAAGUUCAAGCAGAGGGUCCAUGUGCCCAGCCUGUGGUCUCUGAGGAUUGAGAACCUGGCCCCUGAAGACAGUGGGCCAUACGUGGCCAUGACCCGCUUAACUGAUGGACAAAGGCUUGGUCAGGUUUUCUACCUGACUGUCUAUGAGCCUGUGCCUCACCCUGAGAUCCUGGCCAUGUCACUGUCUAUCACACCAGGCCUGUGUAACAUCACUCUGGAGUGUAGGGUUCCAGGGGCCACCCAGGAUCUGAAUGUGACUUGGGAGAGCAAGGGCCUCUUCAGUGAGCUGGAACAGAGAGACACACCAGGAUCAACCGCCAAGCUUUGGACCCUGGCUGUGAGCCUGCCCCUGAGCCAGCAGAUCGGCGAUGUCACCUGUGUGGUCAGCAACCAGGUGGAUCAGAAAGCUGCGACCUUAGACCUUGGGAAAGUCUGUGCCCAAGGUUUACACAAACAGGAUGUGACUAGACUGCUGCCAGGCAUCCUAGGGGCUGCUGUGGCUGUGCUGUUAGUCCUGGGAAGUGGGCUGUAUGUUUUGAAGACAUGUCAGAAGAAGAAGAAGAUGGUGAUGGAAAUAAAAAGGAGUGGAGGAUUGCAGAAGAACCAUGGGGUUGAUGAUGGUGGCAUCCCCUUUGAGACGCUCAGCCAGCAAGUGCAAGAGCAUCGGUGAACAAUAUCUGGGAAAAAAGGAAUCUCUCAUUACUACCUGCAGUGAGGUCUGUUAUCCAGACCAGACGAUGGAGAUCAUUUGAUUGGAGGAAGCAGGAGGAUCUGGCACUCCCAGGACACCUGCACUCUGAGCCUAAGUCCUGCAGACCCCUGCCUUUCCCAGCUCUGAUUCAGUUCCAGCUUCCCCUUGUGUGUGUUGAAUUGUCAGAGGCUGCAGUAAAUGUACUCCCUUGGAGAGGCAUCGCUGCCAACAUUUCUGAAAGGCUAUGUCAGUACCAGUGGGGCCCCUGCAACAAUACUUGCCAUCCAGCCUGGACUUUCUUGGACCAAAUCAAUCAAUCUAUCUUUGCCAAAAUCAGAUGAAAUGUCAACUCCAACCUUGCCUUGCAUCAAAAGCCUUGGUAUCCUGCCCAAUAUGCCUGAAACGGCAUAUACUGGGAGACUACUGUGCUGGUAGCUGGUCUCCAUAUAGCUCCCCUUUGUUUGGAGACUUUAAAUGGCUACGCUAAUGCCACUCUGGGGUUUCCCCCACCAGACAAUUGUCAACACAUACUCCAAAUCAAUAACACUACCCCCAACGAAACACAGUCUCUUUCCUACUUCAAUAGCACCUUAUACACUCUAAUUAUAGUGAAACCAUUGCUAUCCCCUGGGGGCCCUCUGGCUAUGCAGAUCCUGUGGGUGGUGAUACCUGCCUCCACAUUGGACAGGGACAUGCACUGAGGGUGGCCAUUAAUUUUAUUCAUGGUCUGGGAUAAUAUUCCCCUCCCCAGUAAUCUAGAUGCUUGCAAACCUCACUGGUUAUGAAUGUGCCAGACUCUUUUUUGGUGGGACCCUAUCACAGCAUUCUUUCCCUGCCACUGGUACAAUCCUGUUUCAGCAACAAAUUAAAAUAGUAAGCUUAUAUGUAGUAAAAGCUCUUAAUGAUAGUAGCACUAAACUUGUGUUGUCGUUGGAUGAAUUUGCUCAGCUGCAUACUGUUGCAUUGCAAAAUCGAAUGGAAUUAGAUACGUUUACCGCAGUCUGAGGAGGGGUUUGCACCUUACUGUAUACUGAAUAUUGUAUGUAUAUCCCUGACAAUUCUCACAAUAUUACCCUUCUUGCCCAAGACAUGCAAAAACAAGUAAAACAGUCAGAAUCUAACCAUCAGCAUCCCAUCAUGGACUGACUGUCCAGCUGGCAUUGGCACUGGCCAUGGUAGGUGUGGAUUUUAUUAAUUAUGCUUUUAAUUUUCCUAUGCUUGUCCUGUAUGUGUAACCUAUAUCAACUAUGUAUUCCUGGUUUAUCUGUAAGGUAUUUUCCUUAUAACUGAGUACUAAAUUGAGGCCAAAUGUGGAGCAGAAGUUAAAUAUUAAAUUUAAACUCAAUUGAACAUGGACACAAACCAGAUAACUUCUAAUCUUAUGGCCUUGGGCAGUCUAGUCUACAGACAUGAAGGAAGUUUGUUUGGGAAAAAAAUAUUGAAGAAUAAUUUAUAGAAAAAAGAACUGUAUAUGGUAAAUUCUUAUCCUAAAAGUAAUUAACUGAUUUUUUUUUUUGAGACGGAGUUUUGCUCUUGUUACCCAGGCUGGAGUGCAAUGGCGCGAUCUCGGCUCACCACAACCUCCGCCUCCUGGUUUCCGGCAGUUCUCCUGCCUCAGCCUUCUGAGUAGCUGGGAUUACAGGCACGUGCCACCAUGCCCAGCUAAUUUGUUUUUUUUUUUUUUGUAUUUUCAGUAGAGAUGGGGUUUCACCAUGUUGACCAGGAUGGUCUCAAUCUCUUGACCUCAUGAUCCACCUGCCUCGGCCUCUCAAAGUGCUGGGAUGACAGGUGUGAGCCACCGCGCCCAGCCUAAUUACCUGAUUUAUUAAAAAAAAUAUACUUACAAGUCAGAAAGUUGAAGCUUGUCAAAAAUUGUCUGUAAAAGUCAUAAAAAUUUUGUAAAAAACUUUAUGCAAGAAAUGUUGUACAAUUUAAUUGUAAAAUAAAUUCUGUGUAUAAACAUAUUGGCUAAAGUUG